rnacentral:sRNA from 1 species
AUGUACUUCCUCUGUACACUCCGGUUCCUGCGCUCCUGACGCACCCGGCUGAAGGCCGCUCGCGACGUUUUUCAACC